rnacentral:rRNA from 1 species
ACUCAAAUGAAUUGACGGGGGCCCGCACAAGCAGCGGAGCGUGUGGUUUAAUUCGAGGCUACACGAAGAACCUUACCUAGACUUGACAUGGGAGAGAACGAAGGUGAAAGCCUGAGGUUCGCAAGACUCUUUCACAGGUGCUGCAUGGCUGUCGUCAGCUCGUGUCGUGAGAUGUUAGGUUAAGUCCUGUAACGAGCGCAACCCCCGGUGGUAGUUACAAGGUGUCUACCGCGACUGCCUGCGUAAGUGGGAGGAAGGUGGGGAUGACGUCAAGUCAGCAUGGCCUUUAUGUCUAGGGCUACACACACGCUACAAUGGUCGGUACAACAGGAUGCCAAGCGGCAACGCGGAGCAAAUCCUCACUAAAGCCGAUCUCAGUUCAGAUUGUGGGCUGCAACCCGCCCACAUGAAGUCGGAGUUGCUAGUAACCGCGCGUCAGCCAUAGUGCGGUGAAUACGUUCCCGGGCCUUGUACACACCGCCCGU